GCGCGGAAACCUAAAGGUGCACUGAGCUCAAAUCUCCAUUAUAUUUUAUGUGCGUUAAUCAUAUAGAAAAGUUACGACGGGCUCUAGCUCCAUUCUAUGUGCAACAUUUGAUUUUUAUUUGUAAUCAUUGAUAUUUAAUAGCUGAACAGACACAAUAUAAAAGUCAUACACGUACGAUUUAUUUACAUUGACAAUAAAUUUUAUUUGCAGCAUCGCAUAGUUGAUGAGUAUCACUAACGGCACAUAAAAUUUAAAGGUGCACAAUAAAAAGAUUUUCUUUUCCAAAUAUCAAAAUGGCUGCCUGCAGACGGCUCGGAAAAAGGAUUCAUCAGAAGACAGAACGAGCAUCAUAUUUCUUCAAUGGACGCGUGCUUCGGAAGAGCGAACGGACAUGCAAACUGAUUGCACUCUUGCGCUUCCAUCAUUUGUGCAUCCGAUACGGCAGCUCAGUGUUAGCGGGAAUUUGUCAACGUUGCCAUCAAAGCCAGCCGUCUAAAAUCGUCGAUCAAUUCAGUCGGCCUCUAGAAUUGGUUACCAUUUUGGAAGAAAUGUUAUAUUAAAUGAGGGGAAUGACAUAUUUAUGCUCAAUCCGGAACUUCCCGAAGAACACGGUGCACCCCACUCGAAGGGAUGACAAAACUCGCUCGAAAGAUAUACUACCGUUUUGCGGGAUGUGAUCGGGAUAUGCCGUCUUCUCCGCGAUUUUCGACUUGGAGAAGCUUAUGUCAUUCCUUUCGUGUUACUUUUCCGAUAGUGUAGGAGAUCUUGAUUUAAUGCUGACCAUUUGUGAAUAGUGCUGACACCAAACCCGGAGAUUUGAUUCGUAUCUGAACUUGGGAGCGAACAAGUGGAACUAUACAAGUUUUUCCAAGCGGAAAAAUUCCAAAAACACAGCACACCCCGCAAAAAGACGACAAAACUCGCACAGGAUGUGCUGUCUUCCAAACUGGAUAUGCAGUCUUUUUCGGAAUUUUCCGGCUUGGAAAAACUUGUACCGUUACCCUUGGUAGCGAAUGUGUGAGAGAUAUCGUAUUUAUUAUCUGACGAAUUUGUAAAUUACCAAUAUUAAAUAUGUUCUAUUCAUGAAUAAAUGCAUAACAUUAUGGAUAAAUGUAAAAU